CUCUGUGACUCCUACGGGAGGCAGCAGUGGGGAAUAUUGCACAAUGGGGGAAACCCUGAUGCAGCCAUGCCGCGUGUGUGAAGAAGGCCUUCGGGUUGUAAAGCACUUUUCAGUAGGGAGGAAGGUAGUGUAGUUAACACCUGCAUUAUUUGACGUUACCUACAGAAGAAGCACCGGCUAACUCCGUGCCAGCAGCCGCGGUAAUACGGAGGGUGCGAGCGUUAAUCGGAAUUACUGGGCGUAAAGCGCAUGCAGGCGGCCUGUUAAGUCAGAUGUGAAAGCCCGGGGCUUAACCUCGGAAUUGCAUUUGAAACUGGCAGGCUAGAGUCUUGUAGAGGGGGUAGAAUUUCAGGUGUAGCGGUGAAAUGCGUAGAGAUCUGAAGGAAUACCAGUGGCGAAGGCGGCCCCCUGGACAAAGACUGACGCUCAGAUGCGAAAGCGUGGGGAGCAAACAGGAUUAGAUACCCUGGUAA
rnacentral:rRNA from 1 species